UACGUAGGGUGCGAGCGUUAAUCGGAAUUACUGGGCGUAAAGCGUGCGCAGGCGGUUAUUUAAGUCCGGUGUGAAAGCCCUGGGCUUAACCUAGGAAUUGCGCUUGAGACUGGAUAGCUUGGAGUGCGGCAGAGGGAGGUGGAAUUCCACGUGUAGCAGUGAAAUGCGUAGAGAUGUGGAGGGACACCGAUGGCGAAGGCAGCCUCCUGGGCCAGCACUGACGCUCAUGCACGAAAGCGUGGGGAGCAAACAGG
rnacentral:rRNA from 1 species